AGACGUCUACAUUAGAUACCCCGGUAGUCCCAGCCGUAAACUAUGCGCGUUAGGUGUAUCGGUGACCACGAGUUACCGAGGUGCCGAAGGGAAACCGUGAAACGUGCCGCCUGGGAAGUACGGUCGCAAGGCUGAAACUUAAAGGAAUUGGCGGGGAGCACCACAACAGGUGGGGCCUGCGGUUUAAUUGGACUCAACGCCGGGAAGCUCACCGGAUAGGACAGCAGAAUGAUUGCCGGGCUGAAGACCCUGCAUGACUAGCUG
rnacentral:rRNA from 1 species